rnacentral:rRNA from 1 species
CCCGCCGGCGACCGGCGCACGGGUGAGUAACACGUAUGAAACCUGCCCGUAGCAGGGGGAUAAGCGGAAGAAAUUCCGUCUAAUACCGCGUAACAACCCGAGGAGGCAUCUCCUCGGGUUUAAAGGAAGCGAUUCCGGCUACGGAUGGUCAUGCGUCGCAUUAGCUAGUUGGCGGGGUAACGGCCCAUCAAGGCGACGAUGCGUAGGGGUUCUGAGAGGAAGGUCCCCCACACUGGUACUGAGACACGGACCAGACUCCUACGGAAGGCAGCAG